rnacentral:rRNA from 1 species
AGUGAACGCUGGCGGUAGGCCUAACACAUGCAAGUCGAACGGCAGCACAGUAAGAGCUUGCUCUUACGGGUGGCGAGUGGCGGACGGGUGAGGAAUACAUCGGAAUCUACUUUUUCGUGGGGGAUAACGUAGGGAAACUUACGCUAAUACCGCAUACGACCUACGGGUGAAAGCAGUGGAUCUUCGGACCUUGCGCGAUUGAAUGAGCCGAUGUCGGAUUAGCUAGUUGGCGGGGUAAAGGCCCACCAAGGCGACGAUCCGUAGCUGGUCUGAGAGGAUGAUCAGCCACACUGGAACUGAGACACGGUCCAGACUCCUACGGGAGGCAGCAGUGGGGAAUAUUCGACAAUGGGCGCAAGCCUGAUCCAGCCAUACCGCGUGGGUGAAGAAGGCCUUCGGGUUGUAAAGCCCUUUUGUUGGGAAAGAAAAGCAGCAGGUUAAUACCCCGCUGUUCUGACGGUACCCAAAGAAUAAGCACCGGCUAACUUCGUG